rnacentral:rRNA from 1 species
UACGGAGGAUGCGAGCGUUAUCCGGAUUUAUUGGGUUUAAAGGGUGCGCAGGCGGAUUUUUAAGUCAGCGGUCAAAUCGUGGGGCUCAACCCCAUCCAGCCGUUGAAACUGGGGAUCUAGAGUGUGCGAGAGGUAUGCGGAAUGCGUGGUGUAGCGGUGAAAUGCUUAGAUAUCAUGAAGAACUCCGAUCGCGAAGGCAAGUGUCCGGGGUGCAACUGACGCUGAGGCUCGAAAGUGCGGGUAUCAAACAGG